GGUCCGGUAGCUCAAUGGUAGAGCAAAAGCCUUUUAAGCUUUGGGUUCAGGGUUCGAGUCCCUGCCGGAUCA
rnacentral:tRNA from 1 species